UACAGAGGUCUCAAGCGUUGUUCGGAUUCAUUGGGCGUAAAGGGUGCGUAGGUGGCGCGCUAAGUCAGGUGUGAAAUUUCGGAGCUUAACUCCGAAACUGCAUUUGAUACUGGCGUGCUUGAGGACUGGAGAGGAGACUGGAAUUCAUGGUGUAGCAGUGAAAUGCGUAGAGAUCAUGAGGAAGACCAGUGGCGAAGGCGAGUCUCUGGACAGCAACUGACGCUGAGGCACGAAGGCCAGGGGAGCAAACGGG
rnacentral:rRNA from 1 species